GGAGAAGGCACUCUGACCUUUUCUGGUUCAAGACCAUGGCCUUGGAUUUGGAGGCUCUGAUUCUCAUACCAGAUGCUUCUCACUUGGAUGUGUACCGCUCCAG